rnacentral:hammerhead_ribozyme from 1 species
AUCCAGAUGACGAGUCCAAAAUAGAACGAAAUGUGCUUCCUGAAU